GAUAAACGCUAGCGGCAGGCUUAACACAUGCAAGUCGAGGGGCAGCAUAGAUUGUAGCAAUACAAUUGGUGGCGACCGGCGCACGGGUGCGUAACGCGUAUGCAACCUACCCGUCACAGGGGGAUAAUCCGGAGAAAUCUGGUCUAAUACCCCAUAACAUAUGGAUCGGCAUCGGUUCAUGUUGAAAUUUUCGGAGGUGACGGAUGGGCGUGCGUAGCAUUAGCUUGUUGGUGAGGUAACGGCUCACCUAGGCGACGAUGCUUAGGGGGACUGAGAGGUUUUCCCCCCACACUGGUACUGAGACACGGACCAGACUCCUACGGGAGGCAGCAGUGAGGAAUAUUGGUCAAUGGGCGCAAGCUUGAACCAGCCAUGCCGCGUGCAGGAUGACGGCUCUAUGAGUUGUAAACUGCUUUCGUACGAGGGUAAAGUGGGUUACGUGUAACCUUUUGAAAGUAUCGUACGAAUAAGGAUCGGCUAACUCCGUGCCAGCCGCCGCAGUAA
rnacentral:rRNA from 1 species